AACCACAGGUCUAUAUGCUUGUUCCCACACAUUCCUAAGGAACUGAGUGAGCGAUAAGCCUUACUGCUACCUCAUGCAAUAUUCAGGUGUGAGCUCAUAUGACAAACUUCUUUUAUUUCUGUAGCAACAGAAGCUGGCAUCUGAGAUAUUGGUUUUCAACACCACUAGCUGUGAGUUGGAACAUGCAUCUACUUUGCUGAAUUACUAGUAAAUUAAGGUCAGGCUCCAGAGAGAAGAAAGCUCUCUCAGUGGGACAACAGUGGUGGAUAUGUUGUGUACCAAUUGCAUCUCCCACUUACUGCUUUUUCCAGAGAAAGAUAGACGGGAAAUAUGAAAAACCCAUCUUAUGCAGGUUAGAUGAAUUGAUGCUUAGAUUCCAUUAAUUCCCAUGAUAUUUGCUAUUGAUACUUUUCUCCUUUCUCCCUUCUUCAGAUCUCAUUUUUUGGAGUAUUGUCCACCCGGUCCCUUCUGUGGAAAGAUUCAGAAGAUGCUAACAAACUCAGAAGAUUUGUCCAUGAAAUGAUGAAUGCAAAUUUCAUAUGCUCAACUUCAUAUGUUGACUGCUAUGGUCACCUUAGUGGAUGAUCUCUGUCUCAACACUGACAGGGGGAAUGUGUCCCUGUUGGUGCUUCUAGACCUCUCAGCAGCCUUUGAUAUCAUCGACCAUGAUUUCCUUCUGGAAUGCCUGGAGGGACUGGGAAUUGGAGGCACUGUGCUGCAGUGGUUCCGGUCGUACCUCUCAGGUAGGUUUCAGAUGGUGGUGCUUGGGGAUAGCUGCUCCUCAAAAAAGGAGCUGUUAUGUGGCUUUUCACAAGGUGCCAUUCUAUCCCCAAUGCUUUUUAAUAUUUACAUGAAGCCGCUGGGAGAGAUCAUCCAUAGGCAUGGGGCAGGGUGUUAUCAGUAUGCUGAUGACACCCAAAUAUAUUUCUCCAUGUCUUCAAAAACAGAUAGUGUGCCUCUUCCUAAUGAAUGUCUCGCGGAGGUAAUGGGCUGGAUGAGGAAAAACAAAUAAAAACUGAAUACAAACAAAACAGAGGUGCUUGCCAUCAAAAGUCCUAAUCUGGGGAUGGAUGUGUGUCAACCAGUUCUGGAUGGGGUUACAGUCUUCCUGAAAGACUGUGUUUGUAGCUUGGGAGUGCUCCUGGAUCUAUCUCUCUGAAUGUCAGCCCCGGUAGAUGCGAUGGUCAGAACUACUUACAAUCAGCUUCGGUUGAUACACCAGCUGCACCCCUUCUAGAUUUGGAGGACCUUUAGAUGGUAGUGCACAUGCUGGUAACCCCAAAGUUGGACUUCUGCAAUGUGCUUUACAUUGGGAUACCUUUGUACCAAGUUCUGAAACUCCAGUUAGUUCAAAAUACAGCAGCCAGAUUGGUUACAGGAAUCAUCUAGGAAUGAACAUAUUCCACUUAUUCUAAAGUUACUCCACUGGCUGCCGAUUAGUUUCUGGGCAAAGUAUAAGGUGGGGAUAUUGACCUUUAAAGCCCUACGUGGUUUGGGUCUAUGUUACCUAUAGGAUUGUCUUUUCCCGAAUGAUCCGCCCCAUACACUGAGGUCUUCUAUGGGGUGUCUGCUCCAGCCUGCCUGAACCUGAUUGACAACUGCCAUCCAGAGGAUCUUUUCAUCGGCUGCCCCACAAUUGUGGAAUGACCUGCCAGUAGAGCUCCAACAGCUACAUCAGCUGUCACAAUUUAAGACACAAGUGAAGACCUAUCUCUUCUGGCAGGCCUACCCAAACAGUUUAAUGACGAAUUUUAAACUUCCUUAUCUUCAUCAUCAUCAUAAUCAUCCUCCUCCUCCUCCUCCUCCCUUGGAUCAUGGAAAAUCAGGAGACAUUCAAUUCUAUCUCAAUAGGAUUCCUUCCAUCCCGAAUGUUGUGGUUUCUACAAUGUUCUAUGAUUACUGCAAGUUUACCACUUAUGUCUAGCAUUUUGCAUUCAAUAUACCCUAAGACUAUGAUUCUGGAAACCAGAUUUCAAAUCCCUGCUCAGCUAUAUAUGAUUUUUCACCUUUUACAAAGACCUUUUCCAUGUUUGGGCAGAUUCAAAGCAUCAGAAGAUCAAAACCAAACCAGGAACAGUUAUAAAUUCCUAAAUUCUAUCAUAUUUAACCUUUUAAUAAAUUGUAUCUAUUUUCAUGAUUUUCUGUAUAACGUUUAUAUAACUGUCAAUCUAGAUAAACCUAAACUUGUUUGUCUAGCUACAUGGUUCGCUUGAAGUAGAGAUUGCUGCCUAUAAAAACAGAGGCUUAGAGUAUGGGCAUAUGUUAAACUUCUUUAUUGUCAGCCAAGUUUUUGAUUUCUCAAGAUAGAUUAGCAUUUUUGUUCCUUGGGUCUUGCACUUUUGUUUUCGAAAGCUCCUAUCUUUGUUUGACACAGAACUAAACAUUUGAGGCUCAUCACCAUAUAUUUACCAUUUGUUUUUCUCAGGCUGUACCUUCCCAGGGGGUGUCUCUGCAGCUGAUUGACCCUUCACUCUGACCAAUCCCUAGCUGCUAUAUCCGAACCAAUUCUGAUACUGAUCCUAGCCAGCCUCUUUUCUAGCUAAUCAAGGGAGGGGGAGGGAAGCCUGAAUAGCUAUCAGAACUGUAUAAGGUGCCUUGUAUUUCUCUAUGGUUAUGCUUGUACAUUUUGAAGCAAAUUGCUGUACUUGACCCCUUUUGGCCAAAUUGAAUAAACUUCUAUGGCUUGUCUACAA